rnacentral:rRNA from 1 species
AGUGAACGCUGGCGGUAGGCCUAACACAUGCAAGUCGAACGGCAGCACAGUAAGAGCUUGCUCUUACGGGUGGCGAGUGGCGGACGGGUGAGGAAUACAUCGGAAUCUACUUUUCGUGGGGGAUAACGUAGGGAAACUUACGCUAAUACCGCAUACGACCUACGGGGGAAAGCAGGGGAUCUUCGGACCUUGCGCGAUUGAAUGAGCCGAUGUCGGAUUAGCUAGGUGGCGGGGUAAAGGCCCACCAAGGCGACGAUCCGUAGCCGGUCUGAGAGGAUGAUCAGCCACACUGGAACUGAGACACGGUCCAGACUCCUACGGGAGGCAGCAGUGGGGAAUAUUGGACAAUGGGCGCAAGCCUGAUCCAGCCAUACCGCGUGGGUGAAGAAGGCCUUCGGGUUGUAAAGCCCUUUUGUUGGGAAAGAAAAGCAGCAGGUUAAUACCCCGCUGUUCUGACGGUACCCAAAGAAUAAGCACCGGCUAACUUCGUG